rnacentral:antisense_RNA from 1 species
CUUCAGCGACCCCAACCACAGCGGCUCAUCCCGGUCUUGCCCAUAGGUCGCCAGCAGUGCCUGCGCCUC